AUUGAACGCUGGCGGCAUGCCUUACACAUGCAAGUCGAACGGUAACAGGUUAAGCUGACGAGUGGCGAACGGGUGAGUAAUGUAUCGGAACGUGCCCAGUCGUGGGGGAUAACUGCUCGAAAGAGCAGCUAAUACCGCAUACGACCUGAGGGUGAAAGCGGGGGUUCGCAGGACCUCGGCGAAUUGGACCGGCGGAUAUCAGAUUAGGUAGUUGGUGAGGUAAAGGCUCACCAAGCCGACGAUCUGUAGCUGGUCUGAGAGGACGACCAGCCACACUGGGACUGAGACACGGCCCAGACUCCUACGGGAGGCAGCAGUGGGGAAUUUUGGACAAUGGGCGCAAGCCUGAUCCAGCCAUGCCGCGUGCGGGAAGAAGGCCUUCGGGUUGUAAACCGCUUUUGUCAGGGAAGAAAAGGUUCUGGCUAAUACCUGGGACUCAUGACGGUACCUGAAGAAUAAGCACCGGCUAACUACGUG
rnacentral:rRNA from 1 species